GGACUACCGGGGUAUCUAAUCCCAUUCGCUCCCCACGCUUUCGUCCUAGCAGUGUCAGGUGGCACCCAGAAGCCUGCCUUCGCUAUUGGUGUUCCCAACGAUAUCAACGCAUUUCACUACUACACCGUUGGUUCCGGCUUCCUCUUUGCACCUCGAGCUGAGAAGUUUCAAAAGACAGUCUCAAGGUUAAGCCUUGAGAUUUCACUUCUGACUUUCUCAACCACCGAUCGGUACGCUUUACGCCCAAUGAUUCCGGAUAACGCUUGAGGUCUCUGUAUUACCGCGGCGGCUGGCAC
rnacentral:rRNA from 1 species